GACUGCUCCAGUGGCCUAGUGGUUAAAGCAUCUGUCUUAGAUGUUGGAGGUCAUGGGUUCGAUCCCCAGCCAAGUCA